AAUCAACGCUGGCGGCGUGCCUCAGACAUGCAAGUCGAACGAUUAAAGCUCUCUUCGGAGAGUGUAUAGAGUGGCGCACGGGUGAGUAACACGUAAGUAAUCUACCUUUGAGUGGGGAAUAACAGUCGGAAACGGCUGCUAAUACCGCAUAACGCAGCGGCACCGCAAGGUGACAGUUGUUAAAGGAGCAAUCCGCUUAAAGAGGAGCUUGCGGCAGAUAGCUUGUUGGUAAGGUAACGGCUUACCAAGGCUACGAUCUGUAUCCGGUCUAAGAGGACGGUCGGACACACUGACACUGAAUAACGGGUCAGACUCCUACGGGAGGCAGCAGUC
rnacentral:rRNA from 1 species